CAAGGAGUUGGUUUGAUUUCAUUCAAGGUCCAGGAGCGCAGAGAACCUUGUGUGUCAACUCACAUUGCAUCCCUCACCUCAGCAGAGUCAACGCCCACUUGCUGGUCAGCAGGCUUUGCCGCCAUCAGGACGACUCCUCCUCCUCCACACUGGCCCGUGCUGAGCUGGCCUGGAUCUGCAGCUGCUUCUGUGAGCAAUGACCUGGUUCCGGUGGGAGUCUUAGGGAGAUCAUUUGCUCGGUGGUUAGCGGCUGCAAACAUGCACUGAAUGCUUUUGAGAGAAUCCAGUGCACCAGGGUGGCUACUAUGAUUAUCCAAGCAGGAUUGUCCCAUGUCUGGGGUCGCCAAGGCCCUAAGCAAUCAAAGUCAAGCACAGCAGUGGAGACCUGGCAGAACUGACUUUGGUAGAAUUCUUACCCUUCACCGGCUUCUCCAGUUUUCCCAGGAUCCCGUCUGCAGGCGCUGGGGUGAGCUGGGUGUCCCAGGGGGUGUCUUCCUGGUCACCAGACACUGCAGAGAAGGAGAGAGAAAUUUCCCUCACCCUUUACAUCUGGCCACCCUACCUUAGCAUCUCAACUAACGACUGGGCUGAUGACGCCUAGUACAAAAGAUCAAAGUGGUCCCAAGUGCUGCACAGGUCAGAGCUAUUGUUCCUUGAGAGAGAUGGGAGGUGACCCAAUGUGGUAAACGUAGGACACAGUGCACGACCCACAGACAGUACAUGUAGGCGACCUGGGGUGGACCUGGGGGUGGAUGGAUUAGACCUGACCAGGUUUGGCUCUUGGCCUUGACUGUCAAAUCGUGGGGACACUCGCUAAGCAAAUGCACACAGGCUGCUGCUGAUACCUGUGGGCUGAACUUGGGCACCAAGGGAAGCACCUCUACGAGAUGUCGAACCAAACGGAGCAGGGGGGCUGCCACCUGAUCCUGCCACCCUGUGCCUGCCGGGCCUCUCGGCCGCGGGGCCCCUGCAGGAGAGCAGCCCUGGGAACCCUGCGCUCUGGGCUCGCCCACCACUCAGCACCGUGCUGCCAGCACAGCUGCUGUGGUCGUGACCUCCUGUCCCCAUGUGGGCAUGGACUCCGAACGCAUCAAAGCACUGACUUGCAACUGAGAAAAUAGAGUACAAAUACUGAAUGCCAGACAACCUUUUUGAUUCUGUGCUGUUGGAAUUAGUGUAUCAAAUUUAUGGAAAGAGUGUUAAUCUGGAAAAGAGGAUCGUCACCUUCCAAGAGGCAUGGGCUCGGCUCUGAGCUGCUGGGAGCCUCCACCUUUUCUUCCCUGUCGCUCACUGCUUCCAGCUCCUGGAAUCCUGCACAGAAAACGUUACCGCACAAGGAAAGCAGCACGGGUGUCCGGGGCCCGGGGCGCAGCGCUUUUCCUGUCGGGGGUCAAUUUAACAUCGGCUGCUCCCACCUCCUGGGGGCAUCCCCGACACACCGGGCCCACCCUCUGGGCCUCGGCACCCACUCCCUGGGACCUAGUGCUGCCAGGAGGAGGCCCACCUGGCGCCGGGCAGGGGUGCAAGCGUCCCGCACGGGCUGAGUUGCCAGGCCGGCUUUGUGACGGCUCCGAGGGCCUCAGCCCUUGCCAAUUCAGGGUUCUAGAGGGUUCUAGACAAACUGCAUGGGUCUGCCAUCAGAAGUAUCUCCAGGGCUUAAGGACAAAGCUCACAGGCAAAAAGGUGACCCCCAAGCCACUAAGAGUCAAAGAGGAGGGCUGGUGGCCUCGGGGUGGCAGAUUCAGGGCAGGACACUCACGUACUCGCGAGAGCUCGCAGGCGCUUCCUCCCGGGCAGGGAUGCGGGGACCGGGGACCAGGCCCAGCCAGAGGAGGCAGACGAGGAAGGGGCUGCAGGAGGCGGUGGAAGAGAAACACUAGCCAUGGCCAAGGACAUGGGCUGAGCAGGAAGCUCCAAUUUCGGGGAAAAAAAAAGUUUCCUCUUCACCCUGGUCACUCAGAAGUCCCACAUCAUCACAGAAUUUCUCCUGAGAUUAGCUACCCAACAUCAAUUACCUAUGAGGACAUACCAUUAUUCAUUUUUCUACUGUGAAAUUAAAAGAUUUGGUUACUAACUGGUUUGCAGGCUGUUUUUGCCUCUGGGGGCAUCUGGAAGAACUGUGGAGUCGUCAGUGUCCCGCUGCCUCCAGGAGCCGGUUUCCUUCUGUCCUCUGGGCUUGGCGGCCAUGACUCCAUCCGCACCUGCGGGAGGACCCGGGGCCACGGCGGGAGGGCUGCACUGUCGCCACUAAAGAGCGAGCUGAAAUCAGGAGCCGAUGGUCCAGCCUCGUCUUCUUUGAGCGCCGUCAGUGAUGGUUCAAACCGGGGCGGCCUCGGCCAUUAAACGAUGCUGGUGGCCUUCCCCAUCCACCGCCGCGGAGGGACCUGGCAUCACGGCUCUUCGGGAUCCGAGGGUGACAUGGGCCCGCGUGACGCCACACGGGAAGAGCUGGCCUAAAUUCAAGUUCUUUACCCCAAAAUGGACUAUUAUUAUUACCACUGUUUUAAAAGACUGCAGCUAUUAGUGUAGAAUUCUUAUUUAUAGAACUGAAGUUUGGGGGAGGGGCAAAGUAUAUUAUUAUAGCUUAAUAGCAGAGAACGUGCACCUCAAAAAUUAGGCUAAAUGACAUCAAAAGAGAUCUCACCCUCCUUCAACCUCUGCUCUGAGGCUGAUUGACAGAUGCCUUCCCCAGCCGCCACCACCUACCACCUUCCACUCCACAGCCCCGCCCUUAUUACCUGUGCCCCACCUUACCUGUGUUUACUGAUUCAUUUGUCUCAGUGGAAUCUGGUCACACAUUAUUCCCAGUGCACAAAUAGCCAGCUUAUAAUGCAAGAGUAAGAGACCGAAGGCUCAUCUGUAAUGACAUAUACAGGAAGCAGCCUGUGUAUCCCCAGAUCUACCCGCCAAGGCUCAAGGUCCUACUCGGCUUAACUACAAACCUGGGGAGUCCCCACUAGCUGAGGAGACAAAACCAAAAUCCCAGAAGCACCGCGGCCGCUCAGAGGCCAAGGGUCUUCCAACCUGGGCUCAAAAAAGCAAUGAGCAUCUCUCCACAGCCCUUCAUAAAAGCACAUUCACGCAGCAUCUCACCUGAUGCAGACACGCGUGGGCAGGCAGGCUCCACCACCGCCCCUUGCACGGGCAGACCUGGGCUCGGAGGCCUCUCCUGGGAGUGAAGACCCCAGGGUGAGCCCCAGGUGCACGCCUGCCCUCGGUGCGGGGCUGCCCAGGAGGCCCCGCUGCCAGCCAAGAGCAGAACUGGCCCGGGGGUGUGCGCAGAUUUCAAAGAAAUUACCCAACUAGU